GACGAACGCUGGCGGCGUGCUUAACACAUGCAAGUCGAACGGAAAGGCCCUGCUUUUGUCGGGUGCGCGAGUGGCGAACGGGUGAUUAACACGAAAGUAACCUGCCCUUGACUUUGGGUUAACUUCAGGAAACUGGGGCUAAUACCCGAUAGGAGCUCCUGCUCCAUGGUGGGGGUUGGAAAGUGUCGGCGGUAGGGGCUGGACUCGCGGCUUAUCAGCUUGUGGGUGGGGCAGUGGCUUACCAAGGGUUUGACGGGUAGCCGGCCUUAGAGGGUGAACGGCCACAUUGGGACUGAGAGACGGACCAGACUCCUACGGGAGGCAGCAGUGGGGAAUAUUGCACAAUGGGCGGAAGCCUGAUGCAGCAACGCCGCGUGCGGGAUGACGGCCUUCGGGUUGUAAACCGCUUUCGCCUGUGACGAAGCGUGAGUGACGGUAAUGGGUAAAGAAGCACCGGCUAACUACGUG
rnacentral:rRNA from 1 species